rnacentral:lncRNA from 10 species
UUAUGGGGUGUGCUAAGGGCCAAGAAUAAACUAUACUGUCAACAGUUUUCUAAAAAUGCAGAAUUGAUGUGACGUGCUUUAAAAGAAGAUCUACUAAUUAUAUUGAUGGUAAAAGGAAGUCCUGCCUGAUGGUCCAUAUCUGGGUUAAACGGCUUCCUGAACUGUUCCCAGAGCAGCUCUAAGACGUAUCACUUUAUCUGUCUGAAACCAGAUUGCAAACUCUUAGAGAAAGGAUAAUGUCUAGCAGUUUUAAAUACAGACUACAUGUGAAAGACAGAAGAAAAAAGGGAAAUCAUAGCGGGUGGGGCCAAGAUGGCUGACUAGAAGCAGACGCGAUCAGAGGCUCCCAUUGAAAAGAACCAUAACACUGUGUGAAUCCUGCACCGGCAACCGAGGUACCCAGGUUCCAUCAUCAGAACUGACUAUGUGGCUGGUGUGACCCGCAGAGAGGAAGGAAGAGCAGUGUGGUAAGGCGGCCCACCUGAGAGCCACACGGGGCAGAGGAGUCACCCCCAGCCAAGGUAGGCAGUGAGUGAGUACGCUACCCAGCCUGGGAAAACAU